GCUAAGAGACUUGUUUGUUGAUUGCUCAAGUUUAUGCUUAUGUGAUUGCUUAUUCCAAAGUAUGGGAGCUACUUGGAUCAUCAAUAUGAUCUCAAAAGAGGGUAAAUCCAAUAUUCAUUGAGGAGUUUGCUAAGAGACUUGUUUGUUGAUUGCUCAAGUUUAUGCUUAUGUGAUUGCUUAUUCCAAAGUAUGGGAGCUACUUGGAUCAUCAAUAUGAUCUCAAAAGAGGGACUCCUUUUGUGGUUUUGUUCCUUUAUCCCUUACCUCUUGUAUGCUUAAGACCUUAGCCCUUCUUCUUCUU
rnacentral:lncRNA from 1 species